rnacentral:rRNA from 1 species
CACGUAGGGUGCGAGCGUUGUCCGGAAUUAUUGGGCGUAAAGAGCUCGUAGGCGGUGUGUCGCGUCGGCCGUGAAAACUUGGGGCUUAACUCUGAGCGUGCGGUCGAUACGGGCAUCACUUGAGUUCGGCAGGGGAGACUGGAAUUCCUGGUGUAGCGGUGAAAUGCGCAGAUAUCAGGAGGAACACCAAUGGCGAAGGCAGCUCACUGGGACGUUACUGACGCUGAGACGCGAAAGCGUGGGGAGCAAACAGG